AGCUGUCCUUGCAGAAGAUGCUAGACAUUUCCUCUCAAUUUGAGAAGAUUCAGGAUUAUUUCUCUAGGGAGAGUAUCAUCAGCUGGUUUCAGAACACACAAUGAUACCUUGAAUAGAUGGAGGAAGCUGAGACUAGGGACUUGUAAUUACUAAUAAGGCUGCAAAGACAAAAUAUUUCCAGUGGCUAUGUGGAUGCUGCACUGUUGAUCUAGGCGUACUGGUAACAGGCUGAUUGUUCUGGACUAGCCUUGAUCACCCAUUUGUGGAUACUACUGGUUAUAUCUUAAUAUAAUAGAAAUAUGUGGUUUGUUGUCUUAUACUGCGCGCAGAGAACUCUUGUAUUUUAUGACCUAAUAUCGCUACUGAGAUUUUUGUGAUAUUAAGUGAGA